UACGUAAGGACCGAGCGUUGUCCGGAAUCAUUGGGCGUAAAGGGUACGUAGGCGGGUCAUUAAGUUAGAAGUCAAAGGCUAUAGCUCAACUAUAGUAAGCUUCUAAAACUGGAGACCUUGAGUAAUGGAAGGGAAAGUGGAAUUCCUAGUGUAGCGGUGGAAUGCGCAGAUAUUAGGAGGAAUACCGGUGGCGAAGGCGACUUUCUGGCCAUUAACUGACGCUGAGGUACGAAAGCGUGGGUAGCAAACAGG
rnacentral:rRNA from 2 species